GAUGAACGCUGGCGGCGUGCCUAAUACAUGCAAGUCGAACGAACGGACGCGGAGCUUGCGUCUUUGAUGUUUGCGGCGGACGGGUGAGUCACACGUGGAUAAUCUACCUAUAAGACUGGGAUAAUUUCGGGAAACCGGAUCUAAUACCGGAGAAUCUUUUGAACCGCAGGGUUCAAAAGUGAAAUACGGCCGUUGUGGCACGUAUAGAUGGAUACGCGCUGCAUUGGGUGGUUGGGAAGGUAACGGCUUUCGAAGGGAACGAUGCGUAGCCGACGUGAGAGGGUGAUAGGCCACACGGGAGCUGGGACAGGGACCAGGCGCCUGCGGGAGGCAGCAGUAGGGAAUGUUCCGCAAUGGGCGGAAGCCUGACGGAGCGGCGCGGCGUGAGUGAUGAAGGUCUUCGGAGCGUAAAACUCUGUUAUUAGGGAAGAACAUAUGUGUAAGUAACUGUGCAGAUCGUGACGGUACCUAAUAAGAAAGCCACGGCUAACUACGUG
rnacentral:rRNA from 1 species